UUGAAGGGCAUAUCGGUGAAGUCCCUGGUGCUUGCUUGUUUCGCCCAGAUUCGGGUGGGUGCUGGGGGUUAAGGUUUUCGGGCGGCAUACAAUGGCAUGAAUGUUACGACCCGGCUACCGUGGAGACCUGUUUUCGUGCGGCCGCCGCACUUUGUGGACAAGGACGGCGUACGGGGCAGGAGAUGAACCUGCAUUGCGGUAAGAUUUUGCUGUGUGCAGUGUAGCCUGCCUUGCGUGAAUACGCGGGGAAAGAGGAGCUAUGCGCACUUACCUGUGGCCACAGGAAAAGACGAUAUUCUCUGGAAACCGUAUUUGCAAAAGAGGCUAAGAACCGGCGUAUUUCGGCGUGGAAAACACCUAGGCAGUCCCAAUCCGGGGAUAUGCAGGGGAUUACAGUGCGGACUCAGUGGCAAUCGGGUACUGUGCUCGGCGACGGCACAGCGCAGGCAUGAAAAGGGAACUGCCCGUUCCGGCGACGGCGGGUUGCCUGCGGGGAAAGCCAACCCGACCUUAAGCCGCAAGAUUUAUCCUGUAUAUUGCCACCAUUUAUAA
rnacentral:sRNA from 1 species